AACGAACGCUGGCGGCGUGUUUAAGACAUGCAAGUCGCACGGGAUAAGACAUGUAGUAAUACUUGUUUUAUUUAGUGGCGCACGGGUGAGUAACACGUGAAUUACAUGCCCUAUAGUGGGGAAUAGCCCAGGGAAACUUGGAUUAAUACCCCAUGGUAUCGAAAGAUUAAAGGUGGCCGCAAGGCUGUCGCUAUAGGAUUGGUUCGCGCCCUAUCAGCUUGUUGGUGAGGUAACGGCUCACCAAGGCAAUGACGGGUACCUGGUCUGAGAGGACGAUCAGGCACAAUGGAACUGAGACACGGUCCAGACACCUACGGGUGGCAGCAGUCGAGAAUAAUUCACAAUGGGGGCAACCCUGAUGGUGCAACGCCGCGUGGAGGAUGACGGUCUUCGGAUUGUAAACUCCUGUCACCUGGGAGAAAGACCUGACGGUAAAUAGCCGGCAGGGUUGAUAGUACCAGAAGAGGAAGGGACGGCUAACUUCGUGCCAGCAGCCGCCGUAA
rnacentral:rRNA from 1 species